rnacentral:rRNA from 1 species
UACGUAGGGUGCAAGCGUUAAUCGGAAUUACUGGGCGUAAAGCGUGCGCAGGCGGUGAUGUAAGACAGAUGUGAAAUCCCCGGGCUCAACCUGGGAACUGCAUUUGUGACUGCAUCGCUGGAGUACGGCAGAGGGGGAUGGAAUUCCGCGUGUAGCAGUGAAAUGCGUAGAUAUGCGGAGGAACACCGAUGGCGAAGGCAAUCCCCUGGCCUGUACUGACGCUCAUGCACGAAAGCGUGGGGAGCAACAGG